GUUUACACCGGGGUGGGACUAAGCAGAUCUAUAAGCGGAGGAAAAGAAACCAACAGGGAUUGCCCUAGUAACGGCGAGUGAAGCGGCAACAGCUCAAAUUUGAAAUCUGGCUCUCUUUGAGGGUCCGAGUUGUAAUUUGCAGAGGAUGCUUUGGCAUUGGCGGCGGUCUAAGUUCCUUGGAACAGGACAUCGCAGAGGGUGAGAAUCCCGUACGUGGGCGCCUGCCUUUGCCGUGUAAAGCUCCUUCGACGAGUCGAGUUGUUUGGGAAUGCAGCUCUAAAUGGGAGGUAAAUUUCUUCUAAAGCUAAAUACCGGCCAGAGACCGAUAGCGCACAAGUAGAGUGAUCGAAAGAUGAAAAGUACUUUGGAAAGAGAGUCAAAAAGCACGUGAAAUUGUUGAAAGGGAAGCGCUUGCAGCCAGACUUGCCCGCAGUUGCUCACCUAGGCUUUGGCCUGGGGCACUCUUCUGCGGGCAGGCCAGCAUCAGUUUGGGCGGUUGGAUAAAGGCCUCUGUCACGUAUCUCCCUUCGGGGUGACCUUAUAGGGGAGGCGCAAUGCAACCAGCCCGGACUGAGGUCCGCGCAUCUGCUAGGAUGCUGGCGUAAUGGCUGUAAGCGGCCCGUCUUGAAACACGGACCAAGGAGUCUAACAUCUAUGCGAGUGUUUGGGUGUCAAGCCCGGGCGCGCAAUGAAAGUGAACGGAGGUGGGAACCCUUUGGGUGCACCAUCGACCGAUCCUGAUGUCUUCGGAUGGAUUUGAGUAAGAGCAUAGCUGUUGGGACCCGAAAGAUGGUGAACUAUGCUUGAAUAGGGUGAAGCCAGAGGAAACUCUGGUGGAGGCUCGCAGCGGUUCUGACGUGCAAAUCGAUCGUCAAAUUUGGGCAUAGGGGCGAAAGACUAAUCGAACCAUCUAGUAGCUGGUUCCUGCCGAAGUUUCCCCCUCAAGGAGGGGUAA
rnacentral:rRNA from 1 species